rnacentral:misc_RNA from 1 species
GAUGAAGAACGUAGCGAAAUGCGAUAAGUAAUGUGAAUUGCAGAAUUCAGUGAAUCAUCGAAUCUUUGAACGCACAUUGCGCCCGUCAGUAUUCUGGCGGGCAUGCCUGUUCGAGCGUCAUUACGCCCCUCAAGUCCCCUGUGGACUUGGUGUUGGGGAUCGGCGAGGCUGGUUUUCCAGCACAGCCGUCCCUUAAAUUAAUUGGCGGUCUCGCCGUGGCCCUCCUCUGCGCAGUAGUAAAACACUCGCAACAGGAGCCCGGCGCGGUCCACUGCCGUAAAACCCCCCAACUUUUUAUAGUUGACCUCGAAUCAGGUAGGACUACCCGCUGAACUUAAGCAUAUCAAUAAGCGAAGGA